AACCAUUUGGAUUUAUUUUAAGAAAAGAAAUAACUAGUUUUAUUUAGGGUUGGUUUAGAGCAUUGUACUUGGACCAAACCAACGAAAUUUAGACUAAGUGAAAUUGCAUUACAAAAUAUAAGAAAAUUGAUAACCAAAUUAAGUAAGGAAACUAACCAUUAAGGCAGUUAAUGUAACCGAGAAUCCAGCCAUCCAAGCGGACAAUUUGAGAUUCAAAAUAAUUAAAAUAACAUACGCAUAUUUGAUAAACAAAUGAAAGUACAAGUGUUUGAGAAUUUAAACGAAGAAUGAAAAAUAAAAAACAAACUAAAUCUAACAAUUCUGUAAAACUAAAAAACUAUUCUAAUCUAUUCUAUUAACUAAAAUUGAAAAUUUCUUUUAAUCCUAAAAACUAAAAACUAAACACUAAACUUAAACAUGGGCUCCAUAAACUAAAAAAAAAACUCAAACUAAAAAACUCCCCCCUCCUUUUAUAGACAACUAGAGAAAGACCCGAGCGAGAGGGGGAGAGCACGAGAGAGAGAUGUGAGAGAGAGAGAGAGCUCCAUCCUUUGAAGUGUGAACAUGCCAUAUUUGAAGUCAAAUAUGGCUAUCAUGGCUUUGACCCUUCAUCAUUAGAUUUGAUAUUUUUGUCAAAAGUUGUCAGCCUUUUGUUUUUAUUUGGGAAUGCAUGAAGACCUCCUCAGCAUAAUUAUUUUCUACCUCGUGCCCGACCGGUCGGGGGUUUUCUGAACUGGUCGAGAUAUAAAAAAAUAGUUUCAGUCUUUUGAUCUCUCUAAUACUCCUUUUUAUCUGCAAAAUUAUUAAAAAUCCAUUCGCGCAAAAUAACAAUUAAUUUAAAUAAAUAAAAUGUGAAAAGAUGUUAAAAUGCGAGAGAAUUCGAUCAAUAAUUUGUAAUAAAAUGUGUGAACCACACCCCCCAACUUAAGUUUUGCUAGUCUCUUAGCAAAUUGCUCCCAAUAUCAAAUUAUGAUUUAAUCAAUGGUUUUAACAUUUCAGCAAGCUUGAGGCCUACUUAAUUUUACAAACAAUGAUGGAAAAAUUUAAAAACUUUUGUUAAAAGGCCAAAUUCGGUUACAACUACGCAAUUUAUUUUAAAGUGUAGCCAAACAUACCAUGCGUUCAAUCCAUCCGUUCAUAUUGGGUUUCAAUUUCAAACCUCAUAAGGGGUAUGCCACUCUCAACAAAAAUUACUCAAUAAGAACUAGGUACAAACCCCCACAAGCAUGCUUUCUGAAGCUUGAUAUAAAGAAUAUACGUUCCAUUCAUAUUGGAUUGCUUUGAAGGUUUCUAUGAAAAGGAAGAUGGGUGUUUUUAGUUGAGAGAGAGGGAAAUUCUAUGUGUUUGUUUUUGGUGGCUGAGUUUGAAGAGUCCAGAUCUGCUCAAUUUUGGCAUUCCUACAAGUUCAACUUACUUAGUACCCCAAUUUUUCAUUUUUAAACUCUCCCAACUUGUAUUUUUCCCAAUUUAGCCUCUAAUCAAUCAUUUUAAACAUCCUCAACACCUCUUAUCUCCUCUUUUUACGACAUAGCCCAUUUCUUAACCAUCUACUUGGUUCCUAGGUUUUAGAAUAACGAAUUUUCAAGUGUUUAAGCUCAAUUAUGGUUCAAAUGAAUUAGACUCAAAAUUUGUGAUUUUAUUAUGAAAUGAAUGACAUUGUAUCAUUCCCUAGGUGCCAUAAAUCACAAAAUGAAUAGAAUUGAAAUAAACUAUAACAUGUUAUGCCUUCGUUUGACUAUCAUGUUCCCGCAACAAAAAGAAAAGCUCAAAGUUUAUGAAUUGGAUAUUAAAUUUUCACUCUUUAUGUCUAGAUUGCAUGAUUACAUGAUAGUUAAACUUCAGUCAUUGGAUUUUAUGCAGUUGUAAGCAAAUAUGGCCCACGAUACAAACAUAUAAUUAAACUUAAGCAUCA
rnacentral:lncRNA from 1 species